rnacentral:rRNA from 2 species
AGGUAGGGAUACCCGCUGAACUUAAGCAUAUCA